rnacentral:rRNA from 1 species
UACGUAGGGUGCGAGCGUUGUCCGGAAUUAUUGGGCGUAAAGGGCUCGUAGGCGGUUUGUCGCGUCGGGAGUGAAAACCCAGGGCUUAACUCUGGGCUUGCUUUCGAUACGGGCAGACUAGAGGUAUGCAGGGGAGAACGGAAUUCCGUGGUGUAGCGGUGAAAUGCGCAGAUAUCAGGAGGAACACCGGUGGCGAAGGCGGUUCUCGUGGGCAUCACCUGACGCUGAGGAGCGAAAGUGUGGGGAGCGAACAGG